AAAAACGUUAAAAUACUGUCGAUAGUUUCAGUAGUAUUGGAAAUCUCACGAUGAACAAGUUGACUGUGGUAUUGGUUCUGCUUGCUGUGGCUUUGACCAUCACUGUCGAAGCUGGAAAUCGGUAUAGAAAACACAGAUCCAAUGUGAGGGACCACGAAGAAGAGGGCGAUGAUGAGGAUCCCGACUGGCCGAGUCCUGGAGAAGUCCACAACUUUGAAAUCCCCGAGGAAUUUACACAUGGAGGCUCGCAUAAUGACUCUGAUCCAAGCGAUUCGGACAGUUCCGGUCAUGGUCAUAAAAAAUCAAACCACGGGAAGGGUCAUCGUCAUGGAUAAAUUAUAUUUGUCAUCAAUAUUUAGAUAAUUAUUUGUUAACGUUUGAGUAAACAGUGCCACAGCAAAA
rnacentral:lncRNA from 1 species